rnacentral:rRNA from 1 species
GAUGAACGCUGGCGGCGUGCCUAAUACAUGCAAGUCGAGCGAACAGACGAGGAGCUUGCUCCUCUGACGUUAGCGGCGGACGGGUGAGUAACACGUGGAUAACCUACCUAUAAGACUGGGAUAACUUCGGGACACCGGCGCUAAUACCGGAUAAUAUAUUGAACCGCAUGGUUCAAUAGUGAAAGACGGUUUUGCUGUCACGUAUAGAUGGAUCCGCGCCGCAUUGGCUAGUUGGUAGGGUAACGGCCUACCAGGGCAACGAUGCGUAGCCGACCUGACAGGGUGGUAGGCCGCCCUGGAGGUGGGCCGCGGACCAGGCUCCUGCGGGAGGCAGCAGUCGGGAAUCUUCGGCAGUGGGGGGAAGCCUGACGGAGCAGCGCCGCGUGAGAGAUGGAGGUCUUCGGAGCGUAAAAAUCGGUUAUUAGGGAAGAACCGAUGUGGAAGGAACUAUGCACGUCGUGACGGUACCUAGUCAGAAAGCCACGGCUAACUACGUG